AAUACACAGGAUAUAUGUCAGAGUCUGUCAUAACAUUGCAUUUGUAAAUAUAUCUAUGCAUUUCAUCAUGAAGGAAACAUACUGAAUGUUAUAGAUGUUUUACCAGGGAUAUAUGUUUAUAUAUGAAUUAUAUUGCAUUUUAUAGAUGAAUUAUGUACAUGAAUUUUGUAACAUGAUUAUGGAUGGUCAGUGAUACAAGGGCUCUUCAAAAAUUGCCAAAGGUAAUAGGAAAUAUAUUACAAUUGACUUUUUGAUUUUAGAACCCCAAACAAGUUCAAGACUGAUUAGGGAAAUGUUUGGAAGAGCUCGCGAUCAUCAGGGGCUUAGCUUGGAUGAAGACUGUAUGGUUAAUUGAGUUCAUUUUCAAUUCCGCAAUGGCAACCGAAACCGCAACCACCACUGUAAGCUACUUCUGCUCAUUUUUCCAGCUCUCUCUUUUUAAUUUUGAUUUUGGUACAUGUAUUUUGUAUGCUUACGAGGAUUUCUGCCAGAGAUCAAAUAGAGCAUCUUACUGCUCAAGCAUGGCUUUCAGAUAAUAAACAAUUAGAACAAAAGGUUGGUAAAUAUUUCCUAUGCUAUCGCUUUACUCACUGUUUGCGUUCUAUUUAAUAACUUUAUUUGAAUUCAUUUAAUUAUGUGUACUGAUUAAGUGUUUAGUCGCUGCAGGAUCGUGGAGCUCAAAAUGCUAGGUCCGUCAAGUCUCCUUCUACGAACAGAGCCCUGCUUCUCAAACCAACUGUGAGUGACAUAAAAGCAUGUGUUAAAUAUUAAUGAAUUAAUGCAUUUUCAAUUGUUAAUUAUUUUUUUUAAUGUGAUUAGGAAAAAUUAGGAGUGAAAGAGGUUAGUGAUGGAUAAGAGAAAACAUAUUUUCAGUUGAAAGGAUCUGGAGCAAAAUUAUAUCAAAGGGUACAAAAUCUACUCGGUGUAUCCCGUGUCAAGGCUAAUAGCAAUGUCGUUAGCACAAUAGAAAACACUUAAGUCAUGCUAAAUAGAAAAAUGUUGGUUAGUCAAGUUCACAGAAGCAUGAAUAUGCAAUAGAUGCAUCAUUUCCCUUUAAAUUCUUAUUGCAUGACAAUUGAAUGAAUUCACAUUAUUUUCAUCAGCUUGCUGUCGAUGAUCUUCCCAAAGUUCCUACCACUAUUUUGGAAGAUAUUGAUGAAAAAUUAAACCUUCCUGAUGUCCCAACCAAGGCACCAGUUGCCACUAAGGCUAAAGAACCUAUAAAAAUAAAAGCAAAGCAUUUCUUCAUACAUGACCAUGUCGGCUCAGCCAACCACUGCUGUAGAACAAAUUGGAGCCCCUCCACAAGCUCGACCAAUACACCUGCCAAGUGAUAUGCCAAUACAUUAUGGCUUGAAGAGGUCACUGAAGUUGAUUUCCUAACUCCAAAACAGUCGGCAACGAAAGUCAAGCACUUCAAAAAGGAGUGAACAAAAUCUCUUUCAAUGGAACAUUGAAAUCGGAUAAAGAAUGACAUAUCAACAAGUUCUGUGACUACUUUAUUAAACAUGUUUAUCCAUCAUUUUUUUUAAGGUUUAAUUGACCAUUCUUUGUAACUGUGACAUAUCAACUACUAUUUUGAA